UUAACGGCCGCGGUACCCUAACCGUGCGAAGGUAGCAUAAUCACUUGUUCUUUAAAUGAGGACCUGUAUCAACGGCAUCACGAGGAUCCUACUGUCUCCCCCCUCCAAUCAGUGAAACUAAUCUCCCCGUGAAGAAGCGGGGAUAAAAAUAUAAGACGAGAAGACCCCAUGGAGCUUUAAACCUAGCAACACCCGCUUAGUCCAUACCCUUUUAUCUGCCCGGUCCCUGUCUGCUCAGUUUUAGGUUGGGGUGACCACGGAGUAUAAAACAACCUCCAUGAAAAAGGGGAUAUUUCCCUUAUUAGAGAACUACAUUUCCAAAAACUAAUAAAUUAAUUUUAAAUGAUCCGAUAGUCGAUCAACGAACCAAGUUACCCUGGGGAUAACAGCGCAAUCCACCCCGAGAGCCCCUAUCGACAGGUGGGUUUACGACCUCGAUGUUGGAUCAGGGUAUCCCAGUGGUGCAGCAGCUACCAAAGGUUCGUUUGUUCAACGAUUAAAACCCUAC
rnacentral:rRNA from 1 species